UCCUCCUACAAAGGCAUGUUUUUGAUUCCCUGUCCUUGGACACGUAAGAAUCGAGGCAAAGAAAUGUGGUGGAUUUGGAAAGGUCUGGGGCCAGCUCCCCCCAGCCCCAGCAGGCUCAAGAUCAACCAUCC
rnacentral:snoRNA from 1 species